CUAAUAUUCCCCAAAACUAGCUCAUUAAAGAUGAAAUAGACCAGCUCUCUUCAGUGAAGAGGACAAAUAGUCUAUUUAAAGCAUUUGUUCCAAUAAAAUAAGUAGAGUGAAACUUGGAUGCUAAAAUUACAUGAGUAGAAAUCUUCCUGGCACUUAGUGUUUCUACAUUAUUGAAAAAUGAUGUUCCAGAAAGAUUACUUUUUUUCUCUUAUUUUUACUGCCAUCGUCAACCUAUUUUGGGACAUUUUUAUAUAUUGAAUCUGGGUUCUUUUUUGACCUGUUAUAGGUUUUUUUCUCCUCCAGUUCAACUGCAUCCUUUUUUUUUUUAAAAAAAAGAGAAUUAAAAAAUAUUAAAUUCUGCAUGUAAUAUAUCUGCUGUCAUCUUAGUUGGACCAGCUUCCCAUUUAUUUAUCUUAAAAUUAUCCAGUUAUAUCUUAAUUCCAUCCAAAGAAGAUACAGUCUGAAGAUAGAGGUGUACUCUCUUCAAUGCAAUUUACUGUACAGUUAGAAAGCCAAGUGUUAAAUGGAGAAGAUGUUGUUUUUAUUAAACAUUUUGAGAUUUAGAUAAACUACAUUUUAACUGACUGUCUAAAGUGAUUAUCUUUUUCCCCCAAGGUUAGUCUUAAAAUCUUUUUUUUGAGUUUGAAUGAAGGCUUUACAUAAGAAAUUAUUAAAAGCAAGGGGGUGGGUAAUAAAUGUACAUAACAUUAAAUAAUGUAAUGUAGGUGUAGAUUCCCAGAUGCGUUUGGAUGUACAGAUGGACUAUGGAGUACUUUUUUCUGAUGAUGAUUGGUGUAGAAAUGUGUGAAUUUGGUUGGCUUUUUACAUCUUGCCUACCAUUGCAUGAAACAUUGGGGUUUCUUCAAAAUGUGUGUGUCAUACUUCUUUUGGGAGGGGGGUUGUUUUCUUCUGUUUCUUUUCUGAGACUCCUACAGGAACUAAAUUUGUAAUUUAGAAACAUUUAAUUUUGUUAAUCCUGUCUGGGACACUUAAGUAACAUCUAAAGCAUUACUGCUUUAGAAUGUUCAAAUAAAAUUUCCUGACC
rnacentral:lncRNA from 1 species